CUUGUUAGGGCAACCAAACAUGAAUUGUCUUUAAAUUGUCUACCAGUGCACAUUAAGGUCUUAUUGGCCAUCGUGAAUGUUAAUGGGCUUAUGGCAAGAUGAAGGGAAUCAUAGCUUUAGUGUUCGUUUGUCUUCUUUCGGAUUUAACAGGUUAUUUCGUGGACACAGACCGGAUUCACCGUCUGGAAACGGUACUGCAUCAGUCAAGAUGACAUACGGUACUAAAGUAGUGGAGACAACUACAGCUGAUGACGCUAUUCUGACCGUGACAGCAAUUCCCACCGGCACGUACACAUACGCUUUAACAGUCACUGGGAACCCUGGUAGCGUGGGAAAUAUUGCGACGGCAUCGGCUGCCUCUGAAGCGAUUACACUUGCUUCAACAAAAUCCAUGGAUUACGAAACAACGAAGUCCAUUUUUUUCGUCGUUACCUAAGUCUUUCUGAAAUAGAUAAUGUCCUUCUGAAUAUAUUUUAUAUAUUAUUUACUGUUAUUGAAUUAUUUUGUUAAUUGUUGUACUGAUAUAGCAUGUGAAGGAUGCAAAUUGUUGCCUGUUUGCUUUGAAUACGAUGUUUAAUAUAAAUUUGCAUCAAUUUCAUUUAUCAGUAUUAGUUAAACACUUAUUGACUCGUAUGCAAAAAAAGAAGUCCCGAUCAUGAGCACAAUUCAAACAGUAAAGGUCAACAUUUCAUAGGCAAAUGUCGAUGAGUCAAAAUUACUUAAGCAGUAUCUCUGUUGAUCGCGUUAAGUGAGUUUUCCGUCCAAUAAACCUCUCUACGUCAAAUUAAUGUUAUGAUACAAUUUUUGGAGGAUAAUCGCUUACAAGCAGCAUCAAGGACAUGUGUUUAUGUCAUUUCAAUAUUUAAAUUCAAAACUUAAUUGUGUUAUACACUGUAUGAUAAGACAUUCCUAUGGCAAAAAACGUGUAUUAUUGACUGAUAAACAACGUUUAGUUGACAAUUACAAUUUGCUUCAACUAUAAAUUGUUGGCAUGCUGGUUUCGACAUUUGAUUUGCUAUGUUAUCAUUAAAUAUCCUCAACAGAACAUGAACAAUUUCUCAAGCAAAUGGCGGAACAUUACCAAGUAAUUGUUUGUAUAUUCUUAAUAAUAUGUAACUAAAAUGACAAUUUGCACUGCCAACUCAAUCUAAGCAACGUAACGCUACAGUACAGAUAUUUUAAGUUGGGAUUAACAACCGUCUUUAAACGUAAAACUCAUCUUUGUUGGUACAACAAAAGAGGCCAGCACGUGAAAUUAUGGUAAUGUCACAGUGUUCAAUAACACGGGUUUUCUAAACAUUUGCAAUACAUUUCUUUUAAACACACUUGCAGUGCUACACCGGCAUCUGGUACUGCCGGAACGGCAACUGUGACUGUAGAAAUCAAGAACAAGCUCGAGUACAGUAAUACUCACUAUGUGGUGUGCGUCGCUGAUGGAGCUACUGCCGGUAUGCAAGCCACAUUUGUUGUACAGUAACCGUUUCAGUAUUCCUAAGCUAACUAUUAAUAGUUGUGGUUCAUCAAUAUACUAAAAUGACAUAAUGUAAAAAAUACAUUCAGAUUUUCAAUCUCUUUUAGUACGAAUUAAGUUAACAGUCAAUGUCUAUUAUACAAUAAAAUACAUACAUGUCACUCAGCAUCUGUUUGUGGUGCGGUGAAUGUUUCUGCACAAGUUCUUUUAUUGCAUGAACGACGGUUGGGACCUAAACUAUCGCAGAUAAGGCCAUCGAUGACACAAUCGCCUAUACAGAAGAGCCGGCGAAUCCAUGUUGAUUGAAUCAAACGACGUGGAUCGUUUUUGACUACGGUGCAACGACUGGAGUCGUGACCGUCAUGUCCACACUUGAUAUGAAAAUACUCGGAGGUCAGGAGCUCACCCUGAUAGCGACCCCUGCCGCCAGUAGCUCCUCUGACACCAGGGCGGCUACCGCAACGCUGUGGAUUGCCAUUUGAGCCUGUGGCAGCAGCGCCCUGCAGAUCACCGUCAUGAUGGGAAUCGUGAUGAUGUCGUUUGCGACUGAAUUGUUCCUUUAAGUGUUCACUUUCUAUGCACGAACAUACUGCAGCCAACAAAAACAUAUUGUUUGUUUCUUUCAAUCUGAAUCCUCCAAACAUUUGACAUAUCAAACUACACAUACCAAACUAAAAUUCUCAAUUUGCAUGGACCCAUACUGUAAAUGGAAUUAUGUUUUGUUAAUCAUCGUUGUUAAUGACAAACGUUAAUUGGAUCAUUUUAUUUUGACAGUUGUGUUGUAUAUUUUGUCUAUUUAUUAACAAAUAAUAGUCCUGUAGGAGUAACCGUCAAGGUUUAUGAUAUUAUGGUUAUUUUUUUCUCUUUUGAUUUGUGUUGCUGUGAUAUUAACAUAUAAAAUAAAAUACAAAGUCUGUGUA